rnacentral:rRNA from 1 species
UACGUAGGGUGCAAGCGUUUAAUCGGAAUUACUGGGCGUAAAGCGUGCGCAGGCGGUUCUAUAAGACAGAUGUGAAAUCCCCGGGCUCAACCUGGGAAUUGCGAUGGAGACUGCAAGGCUAGAAUCUGGCAGAGGGGGGUAGAAUUCCACGGUGUAGCAGUGAAAUGCGUAGAGAUGUGGAGGAACACCGAUGGCGAAGGCAGCCCCCUGGGUCAAGAUUGACGCUCAUGCACGAAAGCGUGGGGAGCAAACAGG